CAUGUUAUUGUUCCUCCUGUCACACUAGACAACUCAAGGUAGGUCUUCGGCAUCAAUAGAACCAUUCAAGUCUAUAGAAAUACUAAAUUUUCACUUUGUAAACAACUAACGCACAGCUUUAUAAAAUUUAACAUCUUCAAACCGAGUUGACCCUAUUCCCUUCAACAAUUGAAAUACAGUUACAAAGCUAAUACAUUAUAUUGCACAAUUUGUUUAGUUUCUGCUUUGCUAGAUUUCAUACUUUUGAGGAAGUAAAGUAUAGAUUCAUAUUAUGAGACAUGUACAGAUACAACUUCUACAAUAAUAAACUUUUUUUUGACAAUGC